AGUAGGGCCUGCCCACUGAUUUUUUGAAGGGCCGCAGUAUCUUAACUGUGCAAAGGUAGCAUAAUCAUUAGUUUUUUAAUUGAAAGCUGGAAUGAAUGGUUUGAUGAAAAAAUUUCUGUUUCAAUAUUAAUUUUUUAAAAUUUUAUUUUUAAGUUAAAAAGCUUAAAUUUAUAUAAAAGACGAGAAGACCCUAUAGAGUUUUAUUAAUAAAAAAUUUUUUAUAUAUAGAAUUUAUUUUUAAAAAAUUUAUUAUUAAUUUGAUUGGGGUGAUUGAAAAAUUAAAUUAACUUUUUUUUUAUUAAUACAUUAAUUUAUGAAUUAUUGAUCCAUAUAAAUGAUUAAAAGAAU
rnacentral:rRNA from 1 species